rnacentral:lncRNA from 1 species
AGUCUCUGUCAUGUCUCAUGCAAAUGAGAAUUAGCAGUUCUGUUUGCAAUUAACAGAGUCAGUAAGUAGCUGAGAGCGCUGCUGUCCUCGGAAGAAAGCUCUUCGUUCGAGUGGCCGUGAGGCUAAGCCACGCCUCCCAGAGCCCAACCAGGGAGGCGGCAGGGUUAAUUACGUACUAUAAACCACCUAGUGGUUUCAAUCCAAUUUAAAACGGUCUGGAUGUUUAUAAAGCCUUAUUUUUAAUUUGGCUUUGACAAAGUGCUAUCUCAAUUUUAACAAUCCCCCUGAGCUCUGUGACUCAUAUCAUCAGAGAUCUGACCUUUCAGCAGAAGUGGGAAAGGAUCUUAAGUUGUUACCUUGACAACACAAGGUGGAUUGACUCAAGGGUUGGACUCAGUUGGAAAAACACUUGACUUUUCCCCAUAAAUUCAAAUACCUCACAGAACACUUGUGGACAGCAUCCCAUGGGCACAGCUGUUCUGGUACAAAACUGUGAUAAGGCGUUCCUGGUGAUCCAGGAAGCUUUGUGUUGAGUCAAGCAACUCUCUUUGAGAAGGAAUAGUAUCGCGCUUUGCCUGACAGCAAGGAUCAACAGAAUGUAUCGUAAUCUUAAAAGACAGCUGCGAGUAUCAAUCAUCUUGGAUAAAGUCCUUUGAUUCACAUCUCAUGGAAGAUUCCUUCACAAAUUAUCGAUACACACCAGGGGAAUCAACCUGCGUUUUGUACUAAGGAUUCAGCAGACAGCAAAGUACACAGGAGCUUCUUCUUCCUGAGGGAAAGCAGAGGAUGAUGGAAAGCCCACAGGAUCUGGACUAAGAACAAAGUUGUUUGAAUACCAAAUCUGAAAGUAUGGGGGUGGUGUCUGGCACCAGGCAGGCAUGUUAUAACUGAUAGUUCAUUUCUUCCACCGCAUCUAACCCCUUGGCUCCUCUCUGAAUGUGAACAGAUUCCAGGCUGAACUUGUGGAAAUCAAAUUAAAAGAAGCUAAUAUGUUUUUAACCCUUUGGUUGCUGGUAGCUAUGUAAAGAGAUUCUGUUUUCCUUUUCUCAUUGAAUGAAAAUUUAUAGCCUAAUUUGUGACACACUCUUAGCA